rnacentral:lncRNA from 1 species
UUAAAAUUCAAUAUAUUCGCCCUUAAAAUUCAAUAUAUUUGUACUUAGUUAAUGCUUAUAUUAAAAUUUAUUAUGCAAAUGAGUAAAAUUUAUUAUGCUAAUGAGCACCAUUUAUUAAUCUGAUGAAUAAAAAUGGGUUUUAUUGAUAUUUAUAUUUAAUUUUUUGUCAUUUUUUUCUGUUUUUAGGGAAGCUCCGAGCGGAGCUCGCCAAAUGCGACGCCACCAUCCGUGAGUGUGAAAAAUCCCAAAAUUACACAAAAUUUGGGGGGAAAAUCCCAAAAUUCCAGAAUUUUGGAAAAAUUCUGUUAAUUUUACAGAAUAUUGGGGAAAAAAAAAAUCCCAGAAUUUCAGAAUAUUUUGGGGGGAAAAUCCCAGAAUUUCACAGAAUUCGGGGGAAAGGAUUUAAAUUUUAUGGAAUUUUGGGGGGAAAUUCCAAAAUUUCACAGAAAUUUGGGGUGAAAUCCCAAAAUUUGGGGAAAAAUCCCAGAAUUUCACAACAUUUUGGGUGGGAAAUUCCAGAAUUUCACAGAUUUUUGGGAGAAAAUUCCAGAAUUUCACAGAAUUUGGGGUGAAAAUCCCAAAAUUUGGGGGGAAAAUCCCAAAAUUCCGCAGAAUUUGGGGGGAAAAUUCCAAAAUUUCAAAGAUUUUGGGGUGAAAAUCCCAAAAUGUGGGGGAAAAUCCCGGAAUUUAAUAAAAUUUCGAGGGGAAAAUUCUGGAAUUUCACAGAAUUUGGGGGGAAAAUCCCAAAAUUUGGGGAAAAUUCCAGAAUUUCACAGAAUUUUGGGGGGAAAAUUCCAGAAUUUGACAGAAUUUGAGGGGAAAAAAUCCAAAAUUUUGGGUGAAAUUAACGGAAUUUGGCGAUUCCAGGGAUCUUCACGGUGGAGCUCGGCGAGCGCCACACGAAAAUCGGGGAGCUCACGGCCGAUGUGGAGGCUUUCACCAAACAACUCCAGGCUCGGGACGCCCAAAUCCGUGAGUACCCCCGGGAAUUUUGGGAAUUUUGGGGGAUUUUGGGAAUUUUUGGGGGUUUUGGGGGAUUUUGGGGGUUUUUGGGAUGAAAGAAGCAAAAAUAAAUUGAUUUUCCAUAUUUAUUUUUUAAUUUUUUAA